CUUAGGCGUGUGACUGCGUACCUUUUGUAUAAUGGGUCAGCGACUUAUAUUCUGUAGCAAGGUUAACCGAAUAGGGGAGCCGAAGGGAAACCGAGUCUUAACUGGGCGUUAAGUUGCAGGGUAUAGACCCGAAACCCGGUGAUCUAGCCAUGGGCAGGUUGAAGGUUGGGUAACACUAACUGGAGGACCGAACCGACUAAUGUUGAAAAAUUAGCGGAUGACUUGUGGCUGGGGGUGAAAGGCCAAUCAAACCGGGAGAUAGCUGGUUCUCCCCGAAAGCUAUUUAGGUAGCGCCUCGUGAAUUCAUCUCCGGGGGUAGAGCACUGUUUCGGCAAGGGGGUCAUCCCGACUUACCAACCCGAUGCAAACUGCGAAUACCGGAGAAUGUUAUCACGGGAGACACACGGCGGGUGCUAACGUCCGUCGUGAAGAGGGAAACAACCCAGACCGCCAGCUAAGGUCCCAAAGUCAUGGUUAAGUGGGAAACGAUGUGGGAAGGCCCAGACAGCCAGGAUGUUGGCUUAGAAGCAGCCAUCAUUUAAAGAAAGCGUAAUAGCUCACUGGUCGAGUCGGCCUGCGCGGAAG
rnacentral:rRNA from 1 species